rnacentral:rRNA from 1 species
CGUGAAAGCCGGGGAUCGAAAGACCUGGCGGCCAGAGAGCGGCCCAUGUCCUAUCAGCUUGUUGGUGAGGUAACGGCUCACCAAGGCGACGACGGGUACCGGUGCUGAGAGGUUGACCCGGUGCAUCGGGACUGAGACACUGACCGGACUCCUAGCGGGAGGCUGCAGCAGCGAAUAUUCCACAAUGGGCGAAAGCCUGAUGGAGCGACGCCGCGUGUGGGAGUAAGCCCUUCGGGGUGUAAACCACUGUCAGGGAUCACCAAGCGACCGGGGCGAACAGUCCCGGAAGUUGAGGAGUCCCAGAGGAAGUCACGGCUAACUUCGUGCCAGCAGCCGCGGUAAGACGAAGGUGGCGAGCGUUGUUCGGAAUUACUGGGCUUAAAGAGCACGUAGGUGGGCUUGCAAGCGUCUUGUGAAAGCCCCCGGCUUAACCGGGGAAUUGCAGGGCGAACUGCCAGCCUUGAGGCAGGUAAGGGCGAGUGGAACUCUUGGUGGAGCGGUGGAAUGCGUAGAUAUCAAGAGGAACGCCGGAGGUGAAGACGACUCGCUGGGCCUGUCCUGACACUGAGGUGCGAAAGCCAGGUGAAGCAAACGGGACUUAGAUACCCCGGUAGUCCUGGCCUUACACGAUGUCCACUAGGUCGGAGGCCUUCUGACAGGCUUCUGGCUGCCAGGAAACCAUUAAGUGGACCGCCUGGGGAGUACGGUCGCCAAGGCUAAAACUCCAAAGGAAUUGACGGGGGCUCACACAAGCGGUGGAGCAUGUUGCUCAAUUCGAUGCAACGCGAAGAACCUUAUCCUGGGCUUGACAUGUUCGGAUGCCUCCCUGGAAACAGGGUUGGUUGCCCUUCGGGGUGAAACGUUCACAGGUGCUGCAUGGCUGUCGUCAGCUCGUGUCGUGAGAUGUUGGGUUAAGUCCCGUAACGAGCGAAACCCUUGUCGCUAGUUGCCAGCGAGUUAUGUCGGGGACAUCUAGCGAGACUGCCGGUGUCAAACCGGAGGAAGGUGGGGAUGACAGUCAAGUCCUCAUGGCCUUUAUGCCCAGGGCUGCAAACGUGCUACAAUGGCUGAUACAAAACCGAAGCAAGACCGUGAGGUGGAGCAAAUCGGACAAAAACAGCCCCAGUUCGGAUUACAGUCUGCAACUCGACUGUAUGAAGUUGGAAUCGCUAGUA